rnacentral:rRNA from 1 species
GAACUCUCACUUUCUAACCCUGUGCAUCUGUUUUAAAAUUGGCUAGUAGCUCUUCGGAGCGAACCACCAUUUUUCACUUAUACAAACACAAAGUCUAUGAAUGUAAACAAAUUUAUAACAAAACAAAACUUUCAACAACGGAUCUCUUGGCUCUCGCAUCGAUGAAGAACGCAGCGAAAUGCGAUACGUAAUGUGAAUUGCAGAAUUCAGUGAAUCAUCGAAUCUUUGAACGCACCUUGCGCUCCUUGGUAUUCCGAGGAGCAUGCCUGUUUGAGUGUCAUGAAAUCUUCAACCCACCUCUUUCUUAGUGAAUCUGGUGGUGCUUGGUUUCUGAGCGCUGCUCUGCUUCGGCUUAGCUCGUUCGUAAUGCAUUAGCAUCCGCAACCGAAACUUCGGAUUGACUUGGCGUAAUAGACUAUUCGCUGAGGAUUCCAGACUUGUUCUGGAGCCGAGUUGGGUUAAAGGAAGCUUCUAAUCCUAAAGUCUAUUUUUUGAUUAGAUCUCAAAUCAGGUAGGACUACCCGCUGAACUUAAGCAUA